ACGACCCUUCGGGAGCUUGUACAGGUGCUGCAUGGCUGUCGUCAGCUCGUGUCGUGAGAUGUUCGGUUAAGUCCGCUAACGAGCGCAACCCUCGCUGUGUGUUACAAGUGUCACACGGAACUGCCGGUCAUAAACCGGAGGAAGUGGGAUGACGUCAAGUCAGCAUGGCCUUUAUAUCCCUGGGCUACACACACGCUACAAUGGGAAGGGACAAUAGGUUGCGAAGCCGCGAGGUGGGGCCAAUCCAGCAAAACUUCCCUCAGUUCAGAUUGCAGGCUGCAACUCGCCUGCAUGAAGUUGGAGUUGCUAGUAAACGCAGGUCAGCCAUACUGCGUUGAAUACGUUCCCGGGGCUU
rnacentral:rRNA from 1 species